AAGACUAUACUUUCAGGGAUCAUUUCUAUAGUUUCUGACUUGAGAAAUGUGUUUCUAAAGUGUUUGGUCUCGCUAACCACGAUGAUGAGUCGUGAUAUUCCCUUCUGAGCGUGAAGCGGACAUAGAGUAAUGAUUCAGUUUAUAUGCUCUUUGUCAUUGAUGACCGUUCUUUGCUUCCUAGUGGAGCAUAGAGGGAGGGAAUAUGAUCAGAGUGGUU
ensembl:snoRNA